rnacentral:rRNA from 1 species
AUGCUCAAAGUUGUCACCUUUGAUUGGUGCCUUCAAGGACCCAAAUCCCAGGUCCCAGCUACACCUUCUUCCAUACAACAUCUCAUUUCCUUUCGCUUCCAAUCCAUUGAUGUGCAGUGCACAUCACCCUCCUCCAAGUCAAGCAAGAUGGAUGCCCAGGGCGCCCUCGACUCGCUCCUGGGCCGCCUCACCGCCAUCCUUGCCGACGAGGCGCGACUGCUCGGUGGCCUCCACGGCGACGUGCAGUUCAUCAAGGAUGAGAUGGGGAGCAUGAAUGGCCUGCUCCUCCACCUUACCGAGGCUGACCACCGCGACCACCAUGUUCGUGCUUGGAUGAAGCAAGUUGUUGGCCUCACUCGCGACUGUGAGGGCAACGUCGAGCUCUACAUCCACAACGUUACAGGCGCUGGCCACCAUGGUGGUGGCUUCUUGGGCUACUUGCGACACAUUGUCCGCUAUGUGCACACCAUUCCGGAGAGGCACCGGAUUGCAACUAGGAUCCAGGAGCUCAAGGUCAGGGCUCGCGACGUGGGCGACAGGAAGCUGAGGUACGGUGUCACCGUGCCACCAGCUGCUGACCAAGAUGAUGCGAUAUUCAUGGACGAUGCAUACAAGCACCAGGGGCAGGAAGAAGAGGAGAAUGAUGCUUGGAGACGCUUUCAUCUUGUUUAUUAUCCAGAGGAUGAAGAGGCUUACCUACAGAAAAUCAUCGAUGAUAACAUCAAGUCCGUGUUGCCUGAGGAAGAACCGGUUGAAGAGCUGACAAGUGGGGAAUCAAAGCCGAGGAUAUUCCUUAUGAUGUUCAGCCAACAUGAUUUGGCAGACAAAAGUAAUUUCUUACAUUCUAGUAUUACUGAGGGACUGUAUGAGCAGAAAAUGGGAUCAUUUAGUUGCAAAGCCUUGGUCAAUGUGUACACAAAUGGGGACUUCAAAUCUUUGGCUGUAAUACUGGGGGAAAUACUGGACCAAGUGGAAGCAGAGAAGAGUACGGAAACCUCACCGGGUGAUAACGAGAAGGAUGAGGCGAUGCAACUCACCAAGAAACUUGAGGGGUAUCUCAAAGGUAAACGAUUCUUGAUCAUUCUGCAAGGUGUCAAUUCCACGGAUAAUUGGAAUAGCAUAAGGUCUGCUGUAUUACGUGCUACUGCUCAUGGCUCUCCUGGCAGCACUAUAGUCAUUACCACAAAUUCUUAUGACUUAGUAUGUGAGUCCCCUUAUGAAAUCGUCAAACCACAAGGUCUAUUAGAUUAUUGGCGUGAUAAAACCAUGAUGCUUUUUGGUGAGAUCAUUAUUCCAUAUGAAAGGGAAAGUUAUGUGUCAACCGUUGCAGCAUUAUGUCGACACGACCGCUUUGCAAUGAAGAUGAUCCAACAUCUUUUGUAUGUUUACCCUUUAAGGAGUGUUCCACAGCUAGAGAAUAUUAUAGCAACCUUACGUGAUUGUCAGAAGUCGAACAAAAAUUUGGGAAAGCAUAUGUUAAGGCUUUCCUAUAAUAAACUACCUAGCAAGUAUAGGAGAUGCUUGCUGUACCUAAGUAUCUUCCCAAAAGGUGACCGCAUUAGGAGAACAACUGUGUGUAGAAGAUGGAUAACCGAAGGACUGAUAACAUCAAGGGAGAAUCAUGCAGACUACGAGGCUUAUUGCUGCUUCGAUGUGCUCUUCUUGUCGGGUUUCAUUCAACCUGUGGAGAUAAGUGACAUGGGCAAGAUCAAGACCUUCACAUUACAUCCUAUUGUUCAUGAAUCCAUCAGCAGGAUUGGUAAAGAUCUAAACUUUGUGGACACGGUUCUUCCGUCCGAUCUGACUCGCCACCUUCCAAUUCAUAGCAGAACUAGGGUGCAAGCAUCUCACGUGGAUCAUUCCGUGCAAGCAGCUGCUGGCAGUGGCAUUGUAGCAUUUCUUCCGUAUUUGGCAAAGUCAUCUCAAUGGCAGCUAAUGAAGAUGCUGGAUCUAGAAGGUUGCAGAGGCUUAAAGAAGCAACAUUUGAAGAGCAUCUGUAAAAUAAUACUGCUCAAAUACUUGAGCCUCAGGAACACAGAUAUCACUGAACUGCCUAAGCAAAUCAAGAAGCUGCAGCGGCUAGAGACGUUGGACAUCCGGCAAACAGCGGUACAGUCAUUCCCAACAAAAUCAAUCAUGCUUCCUAUGCUAAAGCAUCUGCUUGCUGGCCAGGGCAACAACUCUGAUAGGUUUCAGGAGUCAUUUACGGCUAUGCGCCUUCCCAGCGGUGUCAGAGGAAUGAAGAAAUUAGAGAUAUUGUCUCGUGUUGUUUCUGACAAUGCUGAUGAUUCAAUUGAUGUUGGUCAUCUGUUACAGCUGAGGAAAUUGGGUGUGAUUCUUUCUGGUAAGAAAGGUAGCUUCGGUCAUCUAUUGCAACAGGUUGAGAAAUUGCAUGGUAGCCUCCUCUCCUUGUCAAUCCAGAUCAACCAAACACCCGAAGUUGGGGAUACUCUUGGUGCAGAGGAGGUGGUCACAUUAGUCUCGCCUCCGAAACUUCUUCAAAGCCUGAAAAUCAGCGGCAUCACAAGUGGGCUCCUCUUGUGGAUUGCAGAGCUUGAUCAGCUUACCAAGUUAACACUGAGCGAGACUUACCUGACAGAAGACUAUAUAUGCAUCCUUGGCAAACUUGCAGCUCUGCGUUGUCUCAGUCUUCGGCGCAAUUCAUACACCGGAAGCGGGCUAACAUUCAAGGAAGGGGAGUUUAAGAGCCUCAAGUCUUUGGUCGUCGAUGGCGACAUCAUCACCAACAUUACCUUUGACACUAAAGCGGCUCCCAAGCUUGAGACGAUUGUGUGGUCUUUCGCCAAAAUGGAGUCUAUUUCUGGAUUACGCGACCUUUGGUCGUUGAAGAAGCUCGAGCUCAAUGGUGACUGCAACCCAGGCCCAGUGAGAAGAGCACUUGGAAAGCACCCAUAUGAUCCUGAAUUUAAGCACAACCCACGCCAUGGACACCAAGAAGAUGGAGCUGUUGUUGCUGCCUCACCCCCAUGA